UACGUAGGGAGCAAGCGUUGUCCGGAUUUACUGGGUGUAAAGGGUGCGUAGACGGCAAGGCAAGUCAGAAGUGAAAUCCAUGGGCUUAACCCAUGAACUGCUUUUGAAACUGUUUUGCUUGAGUGAUGUAGAGGUAGGCGGAAUUCCCGGUGUAGCGGUGGAAUGCGUAGAGAUCGGGAGGAACACCAGUGGCGAAGGCGGCCUACUGGGCAUUAACUGACGUUGAGGCACGAAAGCAUGGGUAGCAAACAGG
rnacentral:rRNA from 1 species